GGUUAGGGUGGGUCUCCAAAGCAGCAACCUCCACGCGGUGAGACCUGGGUCAGUAUUAUUUGCUGUGCUAAUUAUUAAUUGUAUCACGAUCGAUGUAACUGUCGUAUAGCAAAUAAUACUAGCUAAUUGGCUGCAAUCGCGAUUAUUUUUUUAUACAAAGCAUGUUAGGAAUUAAGAAGUUAAUUUUUCAUAAAAGUUUUGUUGCCAUUUGUAUUAGUAGCAUGUUAUUAUAGUUAGUAAGAAAUGAUAGCAUGUAAGAAUUUAAAUAUAAGACAUUUUGUAAUACACAUUAUAUUGCGUUGGUAAUAAGGCGUAAAAAAUGUAAAUUUUGUGCAUUGUUGGUAAGUUGCCAUCUAACGAGAUAAACCAAUAUAUAAUGUACGUGUUGUAUUAUUUGGUGAGGCUUACCGCACUCUCAAGGUAUUAACUUACCAGCAAUGCACAAUACUAACGUUAAUGUUAAUUUAAGAUCGAUAUUUCGGAACACGUUGUACAAACUUCCGUAAGAUGUCAGUAUAUUCCGUUUCUCGUCGGUAAUAACGUGUCGAUAUUUCAGAACUCUCUAACGAAAAUGUAUUACUGUUGUAGAUAAAGCGUCAACAGUCGAUAUAGAAGAAUACUUUGAAAUCUACGAUCGGUAAGAUGUGAAAAGUAGUCGAAGAAUCAUAAUUCUUGGGUAAUCGUACACGAAUUAUAGUUGAAAAUAAUGGACGCAGAUGGAGUUUAACGAGGUUAGUUUCGCGUUACUGUCAUAGAACGAAACAGCUGUUGUCUCGAGUUCGGGGGUGGUAUCUACUGUCAGAUGCUCCGCCUAUAAAUCAACCGAGCUCAUGGGGGAGACAGGCCGACGCCAUGUUAACAUACAUAAACAAACCUUGCGCGCCCUAACUGAUAAACGGCGAAAGCUGCGCGCAACAAGCGAUCGUACGCGAAUAAAAUAAAUCUCGCGUAAGUACUUUAUCUUUUUUUUUUUUUUUUUUUUUUUUCAUGAAAUUCGGCGAAACGAUGGAAAGUCAAGUUUUUGAAGGAAAUUAUCGAGAUCAAUUUAAAAAAAAUAUCGCGAGAAAUUGUUUUAAGCGAAAUUGUCGCGAUCGAAAGAAAUGCAGACAAUGAAAUAUGUACGAAGUGUCUAUUCACAGUUAGAAGCUUCACGAAGAAAAAUUAAACAGGCUGCUAGGAAUAAUUAAUAAAUGUCAAUCAGUUCCGUGGAAUCGAAGGUGUCGGUGGAGAGAAGUACCAGCUAAAAUGAUUUUAUGCCUGUCUUAUGAACAAUCUAAUGUUACCCGACCAAUGGACAAAGAUCAUAGGACGGCUAAUGGUCGAAGACUCGUCCGUCUCGAAGACCCGAGACUAAUCAGCGCGAGCAUUAAUCAUCCCCGUGGAUCCUCGACCCAAUUUUCGUUUCAGUUUCAGAACGCGAUCACCACAAUUCUACGAUUUUCUCAACGGUUCUCAACUUCGACGCAAAGCGAAUCUCAUUUUAUUCUACGCAAAUUCGAUUUCCAUACUAGAUGUUAAAAUGGAAAAAUCGAAAAAGCUGUGCACUUUCCACUACGAUUCUCAGCUUCUUCCAGCACAAAGCGAAAAGUUUCCUCGCUAUCAAAUGACGAAAUCCACUUUACUUUUCAACUUCUUCCACCACAAAGCGAAAGAUUAUUUUAUUCUACGCAAAUUCGAUAUUAAAUAAGGUAUUAAAACCAAAAAAUGAAAAUAUUCAUUCAAGAUU